AGUGAACGCUGGCGGUAGACCUAACACAUGCAAGUCGAACGGCAGCACAGUAAGAGCUUGCUCUUACGGGUGGCGAGUGGCGGACGGGUGAGGAAUACAUCGGAAUCUACUUUUUCGUGGGGGAUAACGUAGGGAAACUUACGCUAAUACCGCAUACGACCUACGGGUGAAAGCAGGGGAUCUUCGGACCUUGCGCGAUUGAAUGAGCCGCUGUCGGAUUAGCUAGUUGGCGGGGUAAAGGCCCACCAAGGCGACGAUCCGUAGCUGGUCUGAGAGGAUGAUCAGCCACACUGGAACUGAGACACGGUCCAGACUCCUACGGGAGGCAGCAGUGGGGAAUAUUGGACAAUGGGCGCAAGCCUGAUCCAGCCAUACCGCGUGGGUGAAGAAGGCCUUCGGGUUGUAAAGCCCUUUUGUUGGGAAAGAAAAGCAGCAGGUUAAUACCCCGCUGUUCUGACGGUACCCAAAGAAUAAGCACCGGCUAACUUCGUG
rnacentral:rRNA from 1 species